GCGGACCAACCAACGGUUAGAAAGGAAGCUUUGAGAAUGACUCUAAUAUUUGCUUCAAAGGAAGUGGGAGGAGCCAAAACUGAGCACGGGGGCACGACGAGCAGAAAAGGGCAGCGUUUCUGGCGGAGCGAAGGAAAGCGGUCCUAAACUAUGAGGCUUGGAAGAAAAGGGGGGCGGGCGGGGUAAGCAAUCUGGAGGCGAGAGACAGUAAGGAAAAAGGAAAAUAAAGGAUUGGCUGUCUAAAGCGGGUUGCGGGAGCAGUCACUGAGUCCCCCACCUUCUCAGAGGCUACUUGCUGAAAAGGCAGAAGAGAUGAGCCUACAGCCCCGCGACUUGAGACAAGGCUGCGCUUUUAUUUUUGCCUUCUGUAACUUGUUUUAGUAUUAAAUGGUAAACAACCUUGA